rnacentral:tRNA from 1 species
GGGGAAGUGGCGGAACGGUCUACGCGAUCGCCUCAAAAGCGAUUGAGCCUCUGCGCUCUUGUGGGUUCGAAUCCCACCUUCCCCACCA